UUAGUGGCGGACGGGUGAGUAACGCGUGGAUAACCUGCCGUAUACCGGGGGAUAACACUUAGAAAUAGGUGCUAAUACCGCAUAAGCGCACGGCUCCGCAUGGGGCAGUGUGAAAAAUUCCGGUGGUAUACGAUGGAUCCGCGUCUGAUUAGCUAGUUGGCGGGGUAACGGCCCACCAAGGCAGCGAUCAGUAGCCGGCCUGAGAGGGUGGACGGCCACAUUGGGACUGAGACACGGCCCAAACUCCUACGGGAGGCAGCAG
rnacentral:rRNA from 1 species